rnacentral:rRNA from 1 species
GACGAACGCUGGCGGCGUGCCUAAUACAUGCAAGUCGAACGCAGUGGGGACGGGUGAGUAAAACGGGGGUAACCUCCCAUCAGAGGGGAUAACACUUGGAAACUGGUGCUAAACCGAUACUGAUGGAUGGACGCGCGGUGCAUUAGCUAGGUGGGGAGGUAACGGCGCACCAAGGCGACGAUGCAUAGCCGACCUGUGACGUUGAUCGCCCACACUGGGAAUGAGACACGGCCCAGACUCCUACGGUAGGCAGCAGUAGGGAAUCUUGGGCAAUGGACGAAAGUCUGACCGAGCAACGCCGCGUGAGUGAAGAAGGUUUUCGGAUCGUAAAACUCUGUUGUUAGAGAAGCGGUAUCUAACCAGAAAGCCACGGCUAACUACGUGCCAGCAGCCGCGGUAAUUC